GGCUGUGAGAACAAUCUGGCUGCAACAGCUGUCACCCCAUUAAUCAUUGUCACCCAUUGAUUCCACUGAUCUAGCUGGCUAGGCGGUUGCCCCUUUCCUCCCUUAUCACUCCAUGUGUCUCUCUGCUGAAGGUGCAUGGCCGAAGAGGACGACCAUCCCCCAAAGAGGAGGACCAUUCUUUGCUUACAGGUACAUGAGUAGCUGUGCUCCCCUGCUAGAACCUCAAAACAAGCUUUCAGUAUUCAAAAUAUAUAAAGGUACAAAUAAAGUUUCU
rnacentral:snRNA from 1 species